rnacentral:piRNA from 1 species
UCGGAAGGACUGACAGUGGGCUAGCU